rnacentral:rRNA from 1 species
AGUCGAGGGGUAUAGGUUUUCGGACCUAGAGACCGGCGCACGGGUGCGUAACGCGUAUGCAAUCUACCUUUUACAGAGGGAUAGCCCAGAGAAAUUUGGAUUAAUACCUCAUAGUAUUACGACUCGGCAUCGAGAUGUAAUUAAAGUCACAACGGUAAAAGAUGAGCAUGCGUCCCAUUAGCUUGUUGGUAAGGUAACGGCUUACCAAGGCAACGAUGGGUAGGGGUCCUGAGAGGGAGAUCCCCCACACUGGUACUGAGACACGGACCAGACUCCUACGGGAGGCAGCAGUGAGGAAUAUUGGUCAAUGGGCGCAAGCCUGAACCAGCCAUGCCGCGUGCAGGAUGAAGCAUCUAUGGUGUGUAAACUGCUUUUGUACGAGAAGAAACACUCCUACGUGUAGGAGCUUGACGGUAUCGUAAGAAUAAGGACCGGCUAACUCCGUGCCAGCAGCCGCGGUAAUACGGAGGGUCCAAGCGUUAUCCGGAAUCAUUGGGUUUAAAGGGUCCGUAGGCGGUUUUGUAAGUCAGUGGUGAAAGCCCAUCGCUCAACGGUGGAACGGCCAUUGAUACUGCAAGACUUGAAUUAUUGGGAAGCAACUAGAAUAUGUAGUGUAGCGGUGAAAUGCUUAGAGAUUACAUGGGAUACCAAUUGCGAAGGCAGGUUGCUACCAAUAUAUUGACGCUGAUGGACGAAAGCGUGGGGAGCGA